rnacentral:rRNA from 1 species
AACGCGUAGGUAAUCUACCCUUAUAUUUGGGAUAACAUUGGGAAACUGGUGCUAAUACCGAAUGGUCUUCAUUUCUGUUAGGGAGAUGGAGUAAAGGUGGCCUCUUCAUGAAAGCUACCGUGUAGGGAUGAGCCUGCGUACCAUUAGCUAGUAGGUGGGGGUAAUGGCCCACCUAGGCUACGAUGGUUAGCGGGUCUGAGAGGAUGAUCCGCCACACUGGAACUGGAACACGGACCAG